CAAAUACUCCCUCCGUCCAGAAAUACUUGUCAUUAAAAUGGAUGUAUCUAGAUGUAUUUUAGUCCUAGAUACAUCCAUUUUCAUCCAUUUUGAUGACAAGUAUUUCUGGACGGAGGGAGUAUAUU
rnacentral:pre_miRNA from 1 species